UACGGGGGGGGCAAGCGUUGUUCGGAAUUACUGGGCGUAAAGGGCUCGUAGGUGGCCAACUAAGUCACACGUGAAAUCCCUCGGCUUAACCGGGGAACUGCGUGUGAUACUGGAUGGCUUGAGUUUGGGAGAGGGAUGCGGAAUUCCAGGUGUAGCGGUGAAAUGCGUAGAUAUCUGGAGGAACACCGGUGGCGAAGGCGGCAUCCUGGACCAAUACUGACGCUGAGGCACGAAGGUCAGGGGAGCAAACGGG
rnacentral:rRNA from 1 species